AUGACGAGUCGUGGCAGUGGUGGCGGCUAUUGUUUACCGCCUCCCCGGGCACCACGGAGUGCCCUUCGUGGGCAAGCAUCCGGCUCCGGCACUCCCUUCGACAAUGGUGAUGAAGAAUUGGAGGACGAUGUGGAGGAGUUAGCGAGCUCCGGAGGUCCCCUGGUGAGCCAAAGCAGUCGAGCCCACUGGAAUGAUGCUAAUAGUGCUUGCUUGUUAGAAUUGUGCAUUCAGCAACGUGCAGCAGGAACAUAUAAUGGUACAGUGAUGAGUGGUGAAGGGUACCAAGCCAUUAUCGACGGCUUACCUGCUAGAAGGGGGUUGGUAUAUAGCCGUUUGCAGGUGAAGAACCAGAUAGUCGUACUCAAAAACACUUACAAUUUCUGGCGAUACAUGCAAGUGCAUACAGGGUUGGGGAGGAAACCAGAUGGAACCAUUGAUGCCGACUCUGAGUUCUGGAUAACACACACAGAGAAGAAACCAUACCUACGGAAGUUGCAGUGGGGUCCUCCAGCAAACGAGGAGUUGCUUGAUCAAUUGUUCAGAGGUUACACUGUGGAUGGAAGCACAACCUUUGUGCCUGGAGAUGAUUACGGUCAGAAUCAAGGGCGAGAUUUAGGUGCAGGAGAGGAAGAGGAGGAGUUUCAAGGAACACCUACAAGCAACCAGAGGAGCCAGAGAUGCAAGAGGUCAACAAGCACUUCGAGCACUUUGACCAGUCCAUUGAAGAAGAGCAAGAGCCCAAUGGUGAAGAUUGUGAAGGACAUAGCUAGUACCUUCAAGGAGUCUGUUGCAGCCAACACUAAGCAAAUGCAGAAACAUGCAAAUGAGAAGGCUGCAUUUUCUGUGAAGAGGUGUCAGGAGCUAGCAUUUGAGUGUGGCAUUGAGCAAACAAUUGACUCUGUCUAUGCUCUGUCCAAGAUGUUCGAAACGGAGUACCAAAGGGAGUUCUUCUGUGGCCUAUUAACACACGAGCUUAGGUUGGGUUACUUCAAGAAAUGGUGCAGGGACAACAAUUUGGAGUAG
rnacentral:rRNA from 1 species